rnacentral:rRNA from 1 species
UACGUAGGGGGCGAGCGUUGUCCGAAGUUACUGGGCGUAAAGCGCGCGUAGGCGGGUCUUUAAGUGAGGGGUGAAAGGUUCAGGGCUCAACCCGGGCACUGCCUUUCAUACUGGAGACCUUGAGUGCGGGAGGGGCUGGUGGAAUGCCUGGUGUAGUGGUGAAAUGCGUAGAGAUCAGGCAGAACACCUGGGGCGAAGGCGGCCAGCUGGGCCGUCCCUGACGCUGAGGCGCGAAGGCGUGGGGAGCGAACGGG